AAUAACACUAUAAUAGGAAAUAUUCUAAAUUAUAUGAAGAAAUUCUACUACUUUAUUAAGCAAAAAAACAAGGAAAUCAAAACAUGAACUCUCUGGCAUUCCUUCUGGGAGUCACUUGGUCAACAAAUGUCUAAAAUUUUUUAAAUAUUCUUGUUCAAGAUGUUGCCCUGGGAUCAUAUACUGGACUCUUUUUUGUCUCCUAAAGUUUAAUUUUAAUACCAAGCAUCCAUUUAAAAGGCAAUUUAAUUAAGUCAUAUAAAGAAACAUUAUUAUCUGUGGUGUGGUUGUGGGGAAGAUGACUGCAGGGCCCAUCAUUGAUGAAAAUUUCAAGCUAUUAAAAAGCAAGGGGUAGAAGGUAACUCCCAGGCGUAUGAGAGGAUGAAGAUAAACUCUCAAAUAACUUCUAGAGGUAUGGCCGAGGUGAGAAGUGUACCAAAAGCAGAAUUGGAGGCUAGGCUGUCAAAAUUAAGUGUUUGCUGGAUAUGUAUCUUUUCACUAGCUGUAUCCAUCAUCACCAUCCCACCAUCCCCACCCAAAUUCAGGUUGUCAUCAAAUAGAAAGGUGGGGGUUGAAGAGCUGCACCAACCUGACAUUUAUUCCCAAGUAUGUAUAAACAAAUAAAUAUACAUAAAUACAUAAAUUCGUAACAACAUAAAUACAUAAAGAGGAAAACAGCAUUUUCUUUUUAAAUAAAAGGUCUAGAGAACUGGAGAUACUUUUGUGCAUAUUGGAGCAGAUAAAUAAGGCAAGUGCAGAAAAAGGAGGGGAAACAUUUCUUUGAGUGCAAAUAUUGUAGAGAAGGAGUGGGACCUGGGGAAAAAGCUUAGCAUUGUGUUCUGUGGCAAAAAGCAUGGUUCAUGGGAAGUAGCACGUGAAUCAUGAAAGGACAAUAAGAUAUGGAAAUGAAUCAAGAUGUGCUCUGGAUCAGGGUUGCUGAAGUCUGGUCAAAAAAACGAAGUAAUAUCUCAGUAGCAACACUGAAUAGGGAUACUGAAUAAUGAGAAAAUAUUGGAACAAGUUACUGGUUUUCACAGGAUAUUUUAGGAAAGCUCUUGACCAGGGCGUCAAAAUAAACACACGACUAAUGCUAGCUUCUUUUCACUAGCAUUUGGAAUGGAGGAAUGAGGAAAUGAGAGAUGAAUUUCAACAGGGUCUGAAAUAGAUAAUUCUAUGUAAUAUCAAGAUCCAGUUUUGACAAGAUUUUUUGUGGAUAUGUUGAGGAGUCGGGAAAGUAGAAAUAAAGGACAUCCGGAAGACCCAAACGGCAGCAUCCAGAAAAUCUUUUGUGAUUGAUAAUUGAACUGUGAAAUCAAGAGCAUUGGGUACUAUCUGGGACAUGAUCCUGGGAACAGUUAACCAUUGGGUUGCUAGUCAAUUCAUCCUCCCAUUUUCUAAGAAGAAAUAGUUAUUUAUUUCUACAUAGAAGAAAUUGUUGGAGCCACACUGGAGCCACACAGGGUGGCAGCAGUAAGCAGUAAUUUGGUGAAAAGACAAUUUUGUGGAAGAGAUUGUCCCUCUUUCACAUAUUUCAAAAUCUAAUAUUCUCACAGUCAGAAAAAUAUUCUUGAUAUCUAUCCUUCAUAUCUUUCUGCCGAAAUGAUAUUAACCGUUCACCAUUCUGUAAAUUUUAGCUGAGAACCCAUCUCAUAUGCACAUACAUAUACAAUCUGGCUGGGGAUACUGAAUUCACAAAAAGUUUGUUGAGUGCUUCCUAUCUGUGCAGAAUUCUUCUGAUGCUGGAAAUAUAAAGAUAUAUAUGAUUUAGACUCUACUUUUAAGAAAACUAGAACCCUCGGUAAAGAGAGACAAAUAAAAUUAAUAUAAAAUAGCAUGACAAGAUGUACAAUAGACGCAUCUAUAAAAAACAAUCAAAACCAAUUGGUGACAUUAAUUUUCAAGAUGAAAUGAAAUGGUUAAAUUUAAGUAAAAUCUUGUAAUUUACAGCACAAAGGAAGUAUUUGUAUAGAUGUGAGUUCUAGAGGAAGUGAGACUUAGAACAUAGAGGAACAGGUUAUGUUUCAGUCCCCAGAGACUAUCUGGGGACCAGGAACCACAGUGAAAAACACGCGUGCAGGGGAGGGGGUGGUGGGUAGUGAGGAGUUUUGUUUUACAGGAAUUGAAAUUCCUCCUUAAGUCAUGCUGGGAGAUCAGAGUAGAUGUGCAGAGUCGAACUAUGCUAGGAAAGGUACUGAAAAAUUGGCAAAGAAGUUAUAUCUUUUAGAAAGAUGGGAAUUGGAGCAGAAAAAAUAUUAACUAGGAAGAUCUUUAGCAAUAUAAGGUUAGUUGUGGGAGAUUGGGCAUAGAGAUUACUGUGAUAACAAUCAGCAUAGACCUAUAGAAAUGGACUAUAGGAAUACUGUGCAUUUUUGGCAUGGCCAGACAUGCAUUAAAUACUGGUAUUUGCUGAAUAAGGAAGGAACAUGAGGUCUUUCAAAGGUAAUAUAUUUUCUUUCCUUUUGGAGAUAACACCCAAAGGAUCAGUUCUCAUAUUGGUACAGGUGUUGGCCUCUGAAUGAGACACUUUGGAGAAGACAGAGAGAUUUGUUGGAAAUCCCCAUCCUUUCUCAGAUGACUGGUUUUUGUCUUUUUGGUUUUUUUUGAUAACCAAUGGGGAUAAAGAGUGAGGCAGCAUCACUUAUCUCUAGCAGAUACAUCUGACAAGAAGUCUUAUUUAAGGUCUUGGGUAGGAGUCGGGGGAGGACAAGAUGACAAAGUUAGAUGUGAUAAGAAAGGUGGAAAAUUUCCUUUAGUGGAAUGAAUUAGGGCAUGAUUAGGUGGUUAGCCAGGAAAGAGCGUUUGCAGAGUAAAGUAAAAUGUGGAGUGAGGAUUGGAGGAGCUGGGCAUUUAGAAUGAUAGAGACAUGAUGCCUAGUUUUUCAUGCCUUUGUGGGAAUCCCCAGGCCAUGAUUAAAAAGUACAAAUAAAAAGCUGUGAUGCUGGUAUCUCCCUGCUAUUCCUGUCAUAGAAGAGAUGGGGGCUCUGAGAGAGAUCUACUAUCCCAACUCUGACUGCACAGACAAAGGAAGGGGGAAUCCGAUAACAAAUUAUCACUUAUUUUCUACCAGGCAUGAGUUAUGUACUUUCAGAUACUUUAUUUCAUUAAUUUUCAUCAUAACCUUUGCAACGGCUAAAUUGUAUCACACUAUAUUUUCAGUUAACUGUGGCAUCCCCAGCCGGUUGAAGAAUGCUGAUCACUUAGUAUAACUCAGUAAACAUUGACUACUAGGAUCUGAUCUGGAAAUUAAAUAUUUUACACUUUUAACAUUUUAUAGUGAAAUAGAAUACACAUAUAAAAAUCACAUAAAGCAUAAUUCUACAACUUAUUAGAUUAUUUUAAUGCCAACAUCCACAGAACUAACUCUGAGAUCAAGAAACAGAAUAUUUGGCCAAUACCUUGUAAACCCAUAAUGUGCCUCUUCCUAUCCACACUUGUCUCACUUCCCACCAAGAUAACUUGCCAUCCAGACUUGCUGUUCACUGCACUUUCCCAACCUGAUAUUUCUUUCUAAACAUGUCUAGUGGCAUUAGAGAAAUUGAAGCAGACAGUAUUCUCGCUUUUGUGCCUUACUUGUUUUCAACUGAGCAGCCAGGAAAGGAUGGUCUUGUCAAUAAAUGCAGCUCUAUAAGUUGGAUGUCCUUAUUGAAAAAAGAAAUCUGACACCCAUCUCACACAAUACACAAAAUUAAUUCCAGUUGAAUUUAUUUCAACAUGUAAAAAACAAUGCAAUAAAACCUUCAGAAGAUAAUAGUAGCGAAACUUCAUGACCAUGAGGUAGAAAAAGAUUUUUAAAAUAGGAUACAAAGUUCACUAGUCACAAAAAAAAGAUUAACUGGUAGUCACAAGUAUAACGCUUAAAUAGGGACAGUAAGAAAUUAUUGGGCACAACUGAUGAGUGUCAUAGAUGUACUAGGAAAACUCCUAAAAAAGGCCUUCAACGAGCAUAUUACACAUGCUAGAAGCUGCUCACGAGGUUGGCUCCAGUGUUUGUGGUCAGGAAAAAGAGAAAUAAUAAUGACAGAGGAGCACAUACACCCUCAGAACUUUGGAAGUAACUGAAGGGAAAGGGACAGUUAAAUCUGGGAAACAAGGUGACCUUUAGGAAGGUGAUGAACGGAAGUGUGCAGACGCAGAGGGGAGGGGAGAGUGGCACAGCAGAGAUUACCUCCCUAAUCAUCACUUCCAAAGUCAGAAAAGCAAUCUUUUCCCUAGCAUCCAUCUUAAUUUUCUCUGCAUGAAAUAAUAUCAAUGAAACAGAAAAUUUUACCUAAUCACCUAAAAAUGUCAAGCAUUAUGUUAAGUGGUAUGUGGACUAUAGAAGCAUGGAGUAUAACUGUGAAACUCAAGGAGCAAACACUUAUUGAGCACUUCCUAUGUGGAAAAGGGUGUGCUAGGGGCUAGGAAUACCAAGACAAAGAUCUCAGGAAGAUCAAUAUCUACCAGGAAAGAAACAUCCAUAAAGCAUAUAACAGAAGAGACUUUAUGUUCUUAGUGCACCAUUCUCUCCUCAGUCCCUAGAGAAACACCUGGUUCAGAGUAGGUAAUCAUUAAUAGUUGUUGAAUUGAUAAACAAUAUAUUAAGGAUAAAUAUAGGCAUUAUAAAUUACAAUGAAAAUACAAAUGGGUAUCAUUUAAAAGUAACAAGAUUUAAAAAUAGUAGAAAAUGGGCAUAUCCUAUAGGUUGGAGUAUUUAAAUGAAAUGUGAAAAUGUAGUUCUUUUGCAGAAGUGAGACUUGAAGCAGAGGAGGAAGAGGAUAUGAUUCAGAAGAACAGCAGGGGAAAGGAACAAUCACGAGCCAUGUGACCGAGAGCAGUACUGAGGAGGGGUUGGACGUAGUGCGGGGCAGGAGUGUAUUAGUUUGAGAAGCCCUGAUUGACUGGAAUGAGCAUCCAGAUUAAAGAACAGUGUGGCAUAAGAGUAGGUAUGCAGAGAGGACCUGUUGUAUGAAAGGCCUGGGAAGCUGGGCAGACCAGUUCCUUCUUUAGGAAGGUGAGGAGCUGAAAUGUACAAAUGUAGAGUGGCAAAAUGAACUGUGGUAACCCAGGUGCCAUAUAGGUAGAGCAUCAAGACGAGGGAGGUGACAGUGAGACUAGAGGGCUGAUAUUAUGGAAUACUUUGUGUCAUCACAAACUUGAGUAAGGGACUACUAUUGGAUAAACAGGGAAAGAAAAUGUAGAGCUUUUAGGAACUGUCUCUUUUCUUCUUUCAGGUACAGCAUCCAAAGAGUCAGUCCUCCAAACUCCAAGGUUACUUUUCUAUCCUGUGCCUUAGACUCUUUCUUUUAGGAUAAAGCAGGCCAAUUUGCUGGACAAAGGCAGCAUCUACAGGCUCAGCCCUCAAAUCCAAAAUCUACCUCAUCGGUUAAUUCAGGUUCGGGUUAAUUCCUUUUUUGGGAAGGCAUCUCAUCUUUUUGCCCUGAGGCAUUUAAGCAAGAAAAGCAUUCCUGGAAAUCCCCAUCCCUUCCUCCACCUUUCUCUUCAACCAAUAGGGAUGGAAAGUGAAGCAGCAUCACUUGUCUCCAGUAGAUGUAUCUACUAAGAAGGUCUGAUCUGACCCCAAGUCUUGGGGGGAAGGUGGAGACGGGGCAGGGUGACUGAUAAUGUGGUGAGAGGAACAGCUGACAGCCUAGUUUCUUGGAAAGAAAUAAUAUACCACGUGGAGACCCAAGAAACUACAUUUUCUAGUUGUGAUAAAGAGUGGAGAUUGAGGAUCUAAGCAUUUUGUGUUGGCUUGGAGAGGGAAGGGUACCUGAUGUUUUCCGUGCAUCUGUGGGAAGUCCCUGCUCAGUUUGAAAAAGAGAAGGAAAUGGCUAUGACGCUGAACUCUCCCUGCUGGUGAUGAAUGAGUACCUGUGGUGGGCGAGAUGGAAAUCGUGAAAAAGUCCAUAAUCCCACCUGCUCUUUGUCAUAGGACAGUUUGAGGGAAAGUCAAAAUAUCCCGUUCUUAUUUUGCCCUAGUGGAACAGCACUUCCAGAUGUGUUAUCUCUCUAUUAACCAUCACAACAGACUUGCAUUUUUGUUAACUGCUGAAUCUUCAGCACCUAGAAUAAUUCUUAGUACUCAAUAACAUCUGGUUAAUUAUUAAUGAAUGAGCAGGAUACUAAGAGAAUCUGGAAUAAAAGUUGAGUGAACCUUCAUUCUAUGAAUUUCACACACCUCAACUUACUAUUUCCUUUUCCAAUAUCCCUCUAAUAUAAAGCAAUAUCUCACUUACUCAGAGUUACUCUGAAGCUCAGUUAGAAUAUACACUGUAGCAUGAAAAAAGCGCUGUGUUCACUGCCAUGAGAUCAGAAUUCUGCACCUGAUCUAUACCUUGGUCCAAUGAUUUACUCUUUUGAGCUUCUAUUUCUUCAUCACUAAAAUUAAAGGGUUGAAUUAUAUUAUUUCCCAUGUCAAUACCUAACUGGAUCCUGGAACAUGAUAAAUAUUAACAACAUUUAAUUUUUUAUCCCACUGUCAUUGAUCAUUUCAGUAACUAAAAUAAUUACAGAAAGGAGAAAGGGAAUGGCCCAAAACCUGACUUCCACAAAAAAUAAGGGUACAUUUUUUGAUUAAUUCAGAGGAAAAUAAUUCCCCAACAUGGCCAAACAAUAUUAACUAAUAAAAAUAUUAGCCCAUUUGUGGAUCUUUUUCAAGCCUUCCUUAGAGGUAAGAGAAGCACACUAUUUGCUGAAACUCUUCUGAGGAGAGCUGUGCUCACUAUAAUUUGGGCGUUAGCCAGUACAUUGCUGUGCUCCUUGCCACCUGACGUAGAAUUACUGAAUGGGAUCUUCAAUCUUUGGGUGAAAAAUAUGUCUCCCAAAUUAAAAAAAAAAUCAUUAUACCUUAAUUUUUGUCAUUAUGUAUUCACUAACUUUCCAGUCCAUUCCAUGAUUAACUGACUAUGGAGUUAGAAAUAUUAGUUACCCUCUUGGCAACAUCAUGUCAAUACUUCUCUGUAAACCUGGCAUAGGUUGUUUUUCUGAGACAAACGGGCAACCUCAUACUAGUCUAGGCACACCAAUUCCUAGGCAAUGAUGAAAAAGUGUAAAUCCUUGGUUUGUAUAUGAGCCAGCAGAUUGUAUGUUAUGCAGACAGGAAUAUCCUUAAGUAGGACUUCCUGACGUAAGCUAUAGAUAUCCCUAGCAUAUAGAAAUACCUGUCAAGGAAGGAUAGAAAUGACUAAGUGAUCUGCCAUCUUCAGUAUUGGAAAGAAAACAUCAAUAGUCAUAAUAGAGUUCUACUUUGGGUCUAAAAGUUGGCCCAGAAUGAAACCUCCACAUACGUGCAAAGAAUGUACGGAACUGGUCAAUGCUUUCUUUAAUAAUCUACCAUGUACAACAGAGUAUAUUGACCACAACACUGAGUCACUGUUGCUGAUUCUGAUCCACCUCUCAGUGAGGUUGCUGGAUGCUAGAAGAGUUCCAGGACUUCCAAAGCCCAAGUCCAUACAAGUACGGAGAUUGACUUCCAGUAUGACAGUGUGAGGAACUCUGCUGACCUAUCCUCCAGAGAAACCGAUGAAAAUUGAAAAUAUAUGAUAAAAAAUAUAUACAUUAUAUAUAUGUGUAUAAAGAACCAUUUAAAGCCUCUGGGUCAGAGGCUACAAGCAUACAGCAAAUGAUGAAACAUCUAUUCAAGAAAAUCUAUAAAAAUUUAGUAAGAAAGGUGAGAAUCUGUGGUUUGAGAAAGAUUCUAUCCCUCCCCACUUCCAGUUCAGCAAGGCAGAGACUCUCCACUCGAGACUGCUGCAGCCCAGAACACAGGGCUGUCUCUCCCCAGAUUCAAGCCAGAGGGCUUUUUUUCCUGGGAGAACCAUGACUUUAGCAUUGCUCACCACGUCUCCAGCUAUCUGUUGCCGAGGCUAGGUCCCAAAUGAGUAGAGUCUAGAGGUGGGAGGUCCCAUCUUCUCCCCAAGCCCCACUUGUGGAGUGGAGGCUCUACUUCAAGUGUGGCAUGCUGGAAAUACCGAGUCCCAAUAGCCCUUUCCUCAGCUAAUGAGGUGGUAAAUCCAUGCUAGCAGAGGCAAGCUAAGAAAACUUCAAGCUGUUGACCACUCCCUCUACCAAGUGCUCAGCCCCCUCCUUUGAGUGCGGGUGUCACUCGAAGAGAAACUUGCCAUUGUCCUCAUACCCAGUUUCUGGACCCUGGCUGAGAUAUUUUGCCUGUGGGGAGAAACAAGCUUUAAACAGAUUCCUCAAAGUACUCAAAGAAAAAAAAACCCGUCAACAAAGAAUCCUGUGUCCAGGAAAGCUAUCAUUCAAACAUGAAGGAAAAAUAAAGACUUUCCCAGAUAAACAAGAACUGAGAUAAUUUGUUGCUAGAAGACCUGCUUUGCAAGAGAUACUAAAGGAAGUUCUUCUGGUCAAAGCAACGACAAGAGACGGUAAUUUGAAUCCACACAAACAAAGAGGACUGCUGAAAGUGAUUAAGUGAUUAUAAACGACACUAUAAAAGCAUACGUUUUCUCAAUUCUUCCCUUGAUUGAUUUAAAAAACAACUGUUUUAAAAAGAAUGGAUUUUUUUGCUAUGCUUGUCUAAUAUUAUGUGCUUUCUACUAUUACAUAUCUAUGCAUAUGUGUAGAAGACAAUCUUAAUAACUAUUCAAAAAACAAUGUCCUACAGGGACAAUAUGGCAACUCUCUUUCUAGACCAGCACUGUGUAGUGGAAAUAUAAUACAAGUUGCGUAUGUAUGUUAACUUUUUUUAGUAGUCACAUUUGAGAGCUAAAAAAAAAAGUGUUAAUUUUAAUAAUGUAUAUUAUUUAACUUAAUCUGUCUAAAAUAUUAUGAUUUCAACAUGAAACCACAAAAUUAUUAACAAAUAUUUAUAUUCAAUUUUUUAUUUUAAAUCUUUAAAAUGUGACAUGUAUUUUACACUUAUAACACAACUCAAUUUGAUACUGAAUUUUCAUAGGAAAUCUGUAUUUAGAUUUCAUAAAAUUUAUAGUUAAAAAAGUGGAUUCAUGUUUGAAGUUGUUCAAAACAAACUUAAGUUUUUCAACAGCUGAAGUGAAUAUCAAUUUUUUUAAAAUUAAAUAAAAUUUAAAACUCAAUUGUGCAGUCACCUUGCCUUGUGUUUCAAGGUUUCCGUAGCCACAUGUGGUUAGUGGCUACUCUACUAGAUAGUUCAGUGCUGGACUCUCAAAGAACUCUCCUCAUACACUAGACCAGUUAUUUCUUUCACUUCUUCAUCAUGACAUGGCAUCUUUGUGUCUUUUACCUCCAUGAGGUAGCUGGAAAACUUACUCUGGUAACAGAGAGAGAAACAGAAUAGUAUUCACAAAUGUGUUUACCUUUGCCCUUAGCAGUGUACAUAGCAAACUCAACAUGUAGCUAAAUCUUGGUUUCUCUACUACACUGUUUUGCCUGGAGGAAUGAAAAGGUGUGCCAUUUCCUAUUGUAGAAAGUCAACACUCAUCAUCUGAGGCAUUUUUCAGUCCCCAGAUAUUUUGGCCCUGCCACUCACCAUGCGUUGGGGCCACCUCCUUCAACUCAGUAUGUUGAGGGAACGUGGGUUUAAUUCUAAUAAUAAGCUAGUCAAACCAAUAUUGAGAAGGUAACUCUGCUGCAAACAGAUAAUUCUUUAAGAAGACAAGUAUAAAUUGAGGCCAAGGGAUGAUUUAAUCUCAGCGGCCAUGCUGUGCUAGUGGCCCACAUACUAAAAAAGAGAGGAAGAUUGGCAUGCAUGUUAGCUCAGAGCAAAUCUUCCUCAGGAAAAAAAAAAAUAGAAAAUAUUGACUAAGUAGUUCUUCCAGUUAAUUUGGUCUUAAACUCCUUAGCUUCAACAUCAGAUAUUAUCUGAUUUAUCUACUUCCUCUAACAUUGUACUUUUAAAAUGUAAACCUUACCACAAAAAUAUAAUCAACGUAUUCAAUAACUAGAUCAAAAUCAUGCUAUAAAGCCUUCUUAGAGGCAUCCAGUCCUAGCCUCCUCUAGAUGUCUCAGUAUUGAUGGUUUCAGCCAAAUCUCCAAGUGGAAGGGUAAAGCUCACUCUAAGCUUGGUCUUCUUAUACCUUCUGUUGACAAAGAGCUCUUUUAGAAAUUCCAUAAAACAUUGAGAAAGGAAAAAAAUCCGUAUAGUUCAAUACCAUCACUAAUAUCAAGGGUACCUUCUGGUCCAAUUCUACCCAUUUUCAGCAUGUUGGACAGAAUUCCCAAGGAUAAUGCCUUGUGCACUUAAGCACACAACAAAUAUUUGUUGGGUUAAAUUGUGUGGAUCCUUUACAACUUCUUUCUUUUCAUGGUAUGACUUGAUCUUCUUUUUUGAGGCAAAACCCGCAGACCAAAUAGAUUAAACCAUAGGCAGGGUUAAAUUUUAAAAAGCACAAUUGUAUAAAAUAAUAUACAUAUUAUGUACUAUGGUGUCUAUAAUAUGUAAAAACAUAUGUUCAAUAUAUUUGACAAUAACAGCAUAAAGGAUAUGGGUGAGAGCAAACCUAUAAUGGGCUAAGGAAAUGACAGAUGAUAAAGUAAUAAUUAUAAGAAUGUGUUGUUGGGUUUGCAACAUUAAUAGAUGUAAUACAUAUAAUAAUAAUACCACAAAAUGAAGGAAAAAGGAAUAGAGAUUUGUAGGAGGAACA